rnacentral:rRNA from 1 species
UACGUAGGGUGCGAGCGUUGUCCGGAAUUACUGGGCGUAAAGAGCUCGUAGGUGGUUUGUCGCGUUGUCCGUGAAAACUCACAACUCAAUUGUGGGCGUGCGGGCGAUACGGGCAGACUGGAGUACUGCAGGGGAGCCUGGAAUUCCUGGUGUAGCGGUGAAAUGCGCAGAUAUCAGGAAGAACACCCGUGGCGAAGGCGGUUCUCUGGGACGGUACUGACGCUGAGACGCGAAAGCGUGGGGAGCGAACAGG